ACGCGAGGAGGCUGCGAGAAGAAUACAAUUGAGAUCUUCCCACAGAUUGGAUAUUUUAAAGGCCCAGUGCAGUCAAAAUUCAGUUUAAAGGCACUUCACGCUUCAAAAACACCGACAGUCUUUUUGCAUUUUAGUACAGCAGAAUUACAUUAAUUUACAAUGAAACGCUGCGUUUGCAUUGCGGCGUUGCAGAGGCAGGUGCAGUGCAUACAUUGGAUUUAUCGAACGCAUACCGGUUUGACAGAAAUGGUAGCAGAAGGUGAAUGUUGAACUUUUGUUGCAUACAUAUCCAGAUGCUGCGUGCUAUUAAGCGCUAAAACUCUGUCUGUGUGUUCGAAGCGUUAACGCCUCAUAUCCACCAGAUUAAUCAAGCUCUUUCUGUUCCACGGAGGUCAUUAAUUUUCAAUGGAGAAGUCCGCAACGCUACUUUGGGGGUGCCGCACUAGGUAGCGGUGCAUUCUGUGUUCCGCAUGCAUUCAAUAUUUCUUAUCCUGCAUUGCUUUACCUUGCGGCGGUACAAACAGAAGUACACACAGACUCCAACUAGCUAUCUUUUAGCAAGUUGAAAGCGAAGCAAGUGCCUCAAGUACAGAAAAUGGGGACUAGACAUGACGAAACAUCUGCAUCUGGUGGACAUUGUGCAUAAAGGUCCAAUGCGGACGUUUUUAUCUCAAUAUCAAAUAAUUUCUUAUGUGUAACAAAUUAAUUAAAGAAUUACAAUUGUCAAAAAUUUACAAAAACAGCUUCUUAACUAAAUGUAAUUUCUCAAGCAAGAAUUUUGCUAGGACUGUCUGGGAGUGGUCUGAGGGGCCUAAUUGGAGGAGCCUAAUGAUAGGGAUGUGUAGCCUAAAAACUAGUUGUUAUUGGCAGAGAAGAGGGCAAACAACCUUUUAAAACAACUCUUUGACUAAAAGUGCAUUUUCAUAAUUUCUCAGUGUUAUUUCAACCUCAUAGUGGGGAUAUAUAUAAAGCACAGUAAAAUCACGUGUUUGGCUGCACUGGGCCUUUAAGGUAUCUCAUAGGACCCAAUUUACGGCAUUUGGCAGAAUCCUUCCGGAUGUAGUUUGUGAUGCACUGAAAAAGCUGCUGUCCAUUUUCGUUAUGAAUGUUUGUUUUGUUUUUUAAGAACUUGCGAAGUGUGGGUUUAAAUUUAUCUAGUAAAUAUAAUUGAAUACAUUUUAGGAUUAAGAUACUUGAGUUGACGACGGUGUCGUUUUCAGUAUGUUACCGAAAGGGUUCUGUGUCAAGUCCAACACAGUGAUUAAACGCUCCGAUAGGUGAGGAGUCACUCGUUCCACAUUAAACUCAACGAUUUACAAUGGAGUUGAGCGACGACUAGUGGGCCGACUGGAGCUCCGACGUUUUAAUGAAAAAACGACACAUUUCAGCACCCAAAGAGUAGGCAGCAAUUACACACGGUAUUUUCUAUUCGCCACUCAACUCAACAGGCAUCCAGCCUCUUUGGUAGUUAGAAAGGAAGGGUUACAGUCAACAUGUCUAUCCCACAGGAAGGGUUACAGUCAACAUGUCUAUCCCACAGUGUAUAAGCUUUGGCGUUAUCCCCAUGUCUUGCCAGCAUUCACAACAUGGCCUCCAGUGUUACAUAAGCUGGCUGGAGGGGCAGAUCUCAUGCUGCCUGGAGUGGUGGUGCCUCCAAGUGGUCUCCCAGAGGGGAAGAAGGGGGACUUCUGUGCUGUUAAAGUUGUUAGCAACAGGAAGGUUGAUUGACUGAAUCCAUUUGCAGUCAUGAUUAGCAGUUACCGCUGUCUAUAAUGAACACAUUGACAUACUGUAAACAGUAUGUCAAUGUGUUGACAAUGGCAGGCUUCAUAUUUUUGCUCACAACGUUGUGGUUGUUUGUUGCCAGGGCUCCCGUGGCAGUGGGCACUGGUGCACUGCCACCAUGUCCGAUGCAGGGCCUGGGCAUGAAGGGCAGAGGAGUGUCAAUAUUCUACACCUACAUGGACAGCCUGUGGUGAACACAGAUGAUCCAGUCAAACUCCACACACUGCAGCAUGGUUAGUGUCAAUAAGUAUAACCCGCACACAGCAUUCCCAAUCUACUAUCAUUAUGGAAUUUGGAGACGAGGCUGGUCCUCCCUCCAUGCCUGAUGUGGACACUGAGGGUGUCGAGGCAAUGUAUGGAGAGGAAGAAGAGGAUGAUGAACAGGCCACUGACGGGGGUGAAGAGGAACCGUGUCCCAACCCAGAGGACCCGAGAAGCCCACACCUGCCAGCAAUUGCUAAUAACCCAUCCGCAACCGCCCGACUAUAUGUGAAAAUCUGUACCCCGACCAUAACCUGCUAAUAUAGAAAAUGUGCUGUAGGCUACAGUCAGAGACGACAUAACCAGUUUUUGACGGGGUGCAGGAUAUUUUUGUUUUUGCCCGAUUUAGAUAUGUUUCUGCUUAUAGUUUCAGACAUUUUGGUAUGCUAUUUGUUAGUCAACUUGUCUAUAAUUAGAUACAUGCAGCUUCUCUUCUGUCAUUAUAUGUUGCCCUAGAAGAUUAAAUAAACCCAAUUCUGCUUGGA